rnacentral:rRNA from 1 species
AGAACGAACGCUGGCGGCGUGGAUAAGACAUGCAAGUCGAACGGGCUUUAUAGCAAUAUGGAGUCAGUGGCGUAAGGGUGCGUAACACGUAGGUUACCUGCCCGGAAGUGGGGGAUAGCUCGCCGAAAGGCGAAUUAAUACCGCAUGUGGCAUAUGCCAAAGCCGGGGAAACCUGGCGCUUCCGGAUGGGCCUGCGGCCUAUCAGCUAGUUGGUGAGGUAACGGCUCACCAAGGCUAUGACGGGUAGCUGGUCUGAGAGGACGACCAGCCACACUGGAACUGAGACACGGUCCAGACACCUACGGGUGGCAGCAGUCGAGAAUUUUUCUCAAUGGGGGAAACCCUGAAGGAGCGACGCCGCGUGGAGGAUGAAGGUCUUCGGAUCGUAAACUCCUGUCAUUGGUGAACAAAACACGUGGUUUAACUGGCCAUGUGUCGAUAGUAGCCGAAGAGGAAGGGACGGCAAACUCUGCGCCAGCAGCCGCGGU